AUCACCAGAUCCGUGAUCAAAAAUCAUAAUGCAGCCCAAUUUCCGUCAAGCAACCGCCCCGCUGGAUUGAGAAACAAACAGCUCUGCGAUGGCCCGAUUCUUUCGGCACCGGAUCCUCAGCCCCCAGCCCCCCGGAGUUGUCAGGAUCGGGCCUCAUCGCAGGGGACGACAGCCUCACCCUACGGCUUGAGACGACAUUGGAAUCGAGACGAGAUCGGACCGGCGAAAGCUGGUCUUUU
rnacentral:sRNA from 1 species